rnacentral:rRNA from 1 species
AGAGUUUGAUCAUGGCUCAGAAUCAACGCUGGCGGCGUGCCUAACACAUGCAAGUCGAACGCGAAAGGGGCUUCGGCCCUGAGUAGAGUGGCGAACGGGUGAGUAACACGUGGGUGAUCUACCUUCGAGUGGGGGAUAACGUCCCGAAAGGGACGCUAAUACCGCAUGACGUUCUGGGUUUGAAGACCUGGAAACCAAAGCUGGGGACCGCAAGGCCUGGCACUCGAAGAGGAGCCCGCGCCUGAUUAGCUAGUUGGCGGGGUAAUGGCCCACCAAGGCGACGAUCAGUAGCCGGCCUGAGAGGGCGGACGGCCACACUGGGACUGAGACACGGCCCAGACUCCUACGGGAGGCAGCAGUGGGGAAUUGUUCACAAUGGGCGCAAGCCUGAUGACGCAACGCCGCGUGGAGGAUGAAGGUCUUCGGAUUGUAAACUCCUGUUGCUCGGGACGAAAAGCUUCGACCUAAUACGUUGAAGUCUGACGGUACCGGGUGAGGAAGCCCCGGCUAACUCUGUGCCAGCAGCGGCGGUAAUAC